rnacentral:rRNA from 1 species
GACAGAGGUGCCAAGCGUUAGGCGGAAUCACUGGGCUUAAAGCGUGUGUAGGCGGAUCGUUAAGUACCUUGUGAAAUCCCACGGCUCAACCGUGGAACUGCUCGGUAUACUGGCGGUCUUGAGCCACCUAGGGGCAACUGGAACAAGCGGUGGAGCGGUGAAAUGCGUAGAUAUCGGAAGGAACGCCGGUGGCGCAAGCGGCUAUCUGGACUGACAUUGACGCUGAGGCACGAAAGCGUGGGGAUCAAACAGG